GACGAACGCUGGCGGCGUGCCUAAUACAUGCAAGUAGAACGCACAGUUUAUACCGUAGCUUGCUACACCAUAGACUGUGAGUUGCGAACGGGUGAGUAACGCGUAGGUAACCUGCCUGGUAGCGGGGGAUAACUAUUGGAAACGAUAGCUAAUACCGCAUAAUAUUAAUUAUUGCAUGAUAAUUAAUUGAAAGGUGCAAUUGCACCACUACCAGAUGGACCUGCGUUGUAUUAGCUAGUAGGUGAGGUAACGGCUCGCCUAGGCGACGAUACAUAGCCGACCUGCGAGGGUGAUCGGCCACACUGGGACUGAGACACGGCCCAGACUCCUACGGGAGGCAGCAGUAGGGAAUCUUCGGCAAUGGACGAAAGUCUGACCGAGCAACGCCGCGUGAGUGAAGAAGGUUUUCGGAUCGUAAAGCUCUGUUGUAAGAGAAGAACGGGUGUGAGAGUGGAAAGUUCACACUGUGACGGUAUCUUACCAGAAAGGGACGGCUAACUACGUG
rnacentral:rRNA from 1 species